AAGUCGUAACAAGGUUUCCGUAGGUGAACCUGCGGAAGGAUCAUUAACACGUAUCCAACGUUAAACAACCCUGUGAACCUUUAGCGCUGCUCUCGGGUCCCGUCCACGUUUUUAGCAAUCCCUGGUAAAUCAUUGUUGAAUAGCUUUUGAUUCAGGCGAUUUCUACGCGAGUUUCUCGAUCGAGUGCGAGCAAGUGACCUGGCGUCCCCAAGCCUUCACUGUUCUGAAAGUGGCAGUGAUUGUGUAAGGACGGCGCAGUAACGAUCGCUAGAGGCCGACACGGCCGGCGACCGGGUCCCUGGGCGCCAAAGUCCCCUAAUAACCCCUUGCACGAUUCCCCGCCCAGCGUGAAAAAAACCCUGGGUAAAAAAACCGAACAACUGUUAACAAUGGGUAUCUUGGUUCUC
rnacentral:misc_RNA from 1 species